rnacentral:rRNA from 1 species
GUAGUCUCGCACAGAUGCAUAUCAAUAAGCGGAGGAAAAGAAACUAACAAGGAUUCCCCUUAGUAACGGCGAGUGAAGUGGGAAGAGCUCAAAUUUGAAAUCUUCAAGGGUUUACCUUUACGAAUUGUAGUUUAAAGAAGUGUUUUCUGUUGAAGUUUUGGUAAAAGUUCUUUGGAAUAGGACAUCAUAGAGGGUGAGAAUCCCGUAUUUGACCAUUAUUUUCAGCUGUGUGAUACACUUUCAAAGAGUCGGAUUGUUUGGGAAUGCAGUCCAAAAUGGGUGGUAAAUUUCAUCUAAAGCUAAAUAUUGGCGAGAGACCGAUAGCGAACAAGUACCGUGAGGGAAAGAUGAAAAGAACUUUGAAAAGAGAGUUAAACAGUACGUGAAAUUGUCAAAAGGGAAGCGUUUGACACCAGUGUUGUUUUCUCGAAAAUCAAUUAAAAAGAGUUUAGAUUUUGUUGUGUAUUGACCUUAACAGCUUGCAUUUCAAUUUUCUUGCUUUUUUUAAUGCACUUUUCGUUUAACAAGUCAACAUCAGUUUCUUUUGUUGUAAAAAGGUCAUUGGAAGGUGGCUUUCUUUUCGGAGAAAGUGUUUAUAGCCUUUGACUCCUGCAAUCGGAGAGACUGAGGUCUGCAGCGUAGAUCCUUCGGGGUUAGAUACAUUUGUGCUAAGUUAUAGCUUUUUAUAGACAACUUGUUGACUAUGAUUAGUCUUGUAGCUUACUCGCUUAUGCUAUUUUACCUACGCUUAGGAUGUUGAGCGCAUGUCUCUCUCU